rnacentral:rRNA from 1 species
GAACGCUGGCGGCGUGCUUAACACAUGCAAGUCGAACGGUGAACACGGAGCUUGCUCUGUGGGAUCAGUGGCGAACGGGUGAGUAACACGUGAGCAACCUGCCCCUGACUCUGGGAUAAGCGCUGGAAACGGCGUCUAAUACUGGAUAUGUGACGUGACCGCAUGGUCUGCGUCUGGAAAGAAUUUCGGUUGGGGAUGGGCUCGCGGCCUAUCAGCUUGUUGGUGAGGUAAUGGCUCACCAAGGCGUCGACGGGUAGCCGGCCUGAGAGGGUGACCGGCCACACUGGGACUGAGACACGGCCCAGACUCCUACGGGAGGCAGCAGUGGGGAAUAUUGCGCAAUGGGCGCAAGCCUGAUGCAGCAACGCCGCGUGAGGGACGACGGCCUUCGGGUUGUAAACCUCUUUUAGCAGGGAAGAAGCGAAAGUGACGGUACCUGCAGAAAAAGCGCCGGCUAACUACGUGCCAGCAGCCGCGGUAAUACGUAGGGCGCAAGCGUUAUCCGGAAUUAUUGGGCGUAAAGAGCUCGUAGGCGGUUUGUCGCGUCUGCUGUGAAAUCCGGAGGCUCAACCUCCGGCCUGCAGUGGGUACGGGCAGACUAGAGUGCGGUAGGGGAGAUUGGAAUUCCUGGUGUAGCGGUGGAAUGCGCAGAUAUCAGGAGGAACACCGAUGGCGAAGGCAGAUCUCUGGGCCGUAACUGACGCUGAGGAGCGAAAGGGUGGGGAGCAAACAGGCUUAGAUACCCUGGUAGUCCACCCCGUAAACGUUGGGAACUAGUUGUGGGGUCCAUUCCACGGAUUCCGUGACGCAGCUAACGCAUUAAGUUCCCCGCCUGGGGAGUACGGCCGCAAGGCUA